rnacentral:rRNA from 1 species
AUUGAACGCUGGCGGCAGGCUUAACACAUGCAAGUCGAGCGGGGUGAUGGUGCUUGCACUAUCACUUAGCGGCGGACGGGUGAGUAAUGCUUAGGAAUCUGCCUAUUAGUGGGGGACAACAUCUCGAAAGGGAUGCUAAUACCGCAUACGUCCCACGGGAGAAAGCAGGGGAUCACUUGUGACCUUGCGCUAAUAGAUGAGCCUAAGUCGGAUUAGCUAGUUGGUGGGGUAAAGGCCUACCAAGGCGACGAUCUGUAGCGGGUCUGAGAGGAUGAGCCGCCACACUGGGACUGAGACACGGCCCAGACUCCGACGGGAGGCAGCAGGGGGGAAUAUUGGACAAGGGGGGGAACCCUGAUCCAGCCAUGCCGCGUGUGUGAAGAAGGCCUUAUGGUUGUAAAGCACUUUAAGCGAGUAGGAGGCUCUUUUGGUUAAUACCCAAGAUGAGUGGACGUUACUCGCAGAAUAAGCACCGGCUAACUCUGUGCCAGCCGCCGCCGUAA